UUUAACAAAACUUUGCCUUUUUAGAUUGAAUUGGUGGAAUUGAAUUACCAUGACCUUGCUAGUUUACCGGGUACUGAACCGAACUACCGGUUCUGGUUAUGGUAAUCGCUCAAUCACUAAAAUAUCGUACCGAUAUUCUAAAUUAAGAGAACAGGAAAUAUAAGAAAGAAAAAAAAAAAAAAGUCGAAACAUAUCGGGCUGGCGAAGAGAUGAUUCAUGAUUGCUUCACAAGGAGGAGGUGUUGCUGGGGUCAACCCCUUGUCUUGAUUGGGUGGAAAUUGCUUUCACGAUAAUUAUUUUCACUUAUAAUAUAACCAAAUAGAAUAACAAAGUCUUUCGUAAAAAAGUAAUUAUAUUCGUAACAAUUCCCAAUUAGCGAGAAAAAAAAAACUAAUUAUAUAAAUUUAGUCAAACAGUUUUUGCAUAAAUUUUGUUACAACUCACAGUUGAUGAUGUUGACAAAAAUAAACUUUAUUUACAGUUGAAAAAAAAAAAGAAAAAAAAAAGUUGAUUACUACAAC
rnacentral:lncRNA from 1 species